CAGCCGCCGCGGUAAUACGUAGGGGGCAAGCGUUAUCCGGAAUUACUGGGUGUAAAGGGAGCGUAGACGGUUAAACAAGUCUGAAGUGAAAUGCCGGGGCUCAACCCCGGAGCUGCUUUGGGAACUGUAGAACUGGAGUGUCGGAGGGGUAAGCGGAAUUCCCAGUGUAGCGGUGAAAUGCGUAGAUAUUGGGAGGAACACCGGCGGCGAAGGCGGCUUACUGGACGACAACUGACGUUGAGGCUCGAAGGCGUGGGUAGCAAACAGGAUUAGAUACCCCCGUAGUCCCUGUCUCUUAUAC
rnacentral:rRNA from 1 species